UAACAAAGUUAGUAGAGUGCGUCUUCAUGCACUCACGUACGCACUAGGCCCAACUGAGUUGAUGGUGCUUGCACCUGAUUGACGAUGGAUCACCAGUGAGUGGCGGACGGGUGAGUAACACGUAGGUAACCUGCCCCGGAGCGGGGGAUAACAUUUGGAAACAGAUGCUAAUACCGCAUAACAACAAAAGCCACAUGGCUUUUGCUUGAAAGAUGGCUUUGGCUAUCACUCUGGGAUGGACCUGCGGUGCAUUAGCUAGUUGGUAAGGUAACGGCUUACCAAGGCGAUGAUGCAUAGCCGAGUUGAGAGACUGAUCGGCCACAAUGGAACUGAGACACGGUCCAUACUCCUACGGGAGGCAGCAGUAGGGAAUCUUCCACAAUGGGCGCAAGCCUGAUGGAGCAACACCGCGUGAGUGAAGAAGGGUUUCGGCUCGUAAAGCUCUGUUGUUGGAGAAGAACGUGCGUGAGAGUAACUGUUCACGCAGUGACGGUAUCCAACCAGAAAGUCACGGCUAACUACGUGCCAGCAGCCGCGGUAAUACGUAGGUGGCAAGCGUUAUCCGGAUUUAUUGGGCGUAAAGCGAGCGCAGGCGGUUGCUUAGGUCUGAUGUGAAAGCCUUCGGCUUAACCGAAGAAGUGCAUCGGAAACCGGGCGACUUGAGUGCAGAAGAGGACAGUGGAACUCCAUGUGUAGCGGUGGAAUGCGUAGAUAUAUGGAAGAACACCAGUGGCGAAGGCGGCUGUCUGGUCUGCAACUGACGCUGAGGCUCGAAAGCAUGGGUAGCGAACAGGAUUAGAUACCCUGGUAGUCCAUGCCGUAAACGAUGAGUGCUAGGUGUUGGAGGGUUUCCGCCCUUCAGUGCCGGAGCUAAC
rnacentral:rRNA from 1 species